rnacentral:rRNA from 1 species
ACCCAGACUCCUACGGGAGGCAGCAGUGGGGAAUAUUGGACAAUGGGGGAAACCCUGAUCCAGCGACGCCGCGUGAGUGAAGAAGUAUUUCGGUACGUAAAGCUCUAUCAGCAGGAAAGAAAAUGACGGUACCUGACUAAGAAGCCCCGGCUAACUACGUGCCAGCAGCCGCGGUAAUACGUAGGGGGCAAGCGUUAUCCGGAUUUACUGGGUGUAAAGGGAGCGUAGACGGCAGCGCAAGUCUGGAGUGAAAUGCCGGGGCCCAACCCCGGAACUGCUCUGGAAACUGUGAAGCUGGAGUGCAGGAGAGGUAAGCGGAAUUCCUGGUGUAGCGGUGAAAUGCGUAGAUAUCAGGAGGAACACCGGCGGCGAAGGUGGCUUGCUGGGCUUUUACUGACGCUGAGGCUCGAAAGCGUGGGGAGCAAACAGGAUUAGAUACCCCCGUAAAC